rnacentral:tRNA from 1 species
UUCCUGAUGGUCCAGUGGUUAGAACUCUGAGCUUCCACUGCAGUGGGGGCACGGGUUCGAUCCCUGGUCAGGGAA